GUGGGGAAUCUUGCGCAAUGGACGAAAGUCUGACGCAGCGACGCCGCGUGAGUGAUGAAGGCCUUCGGGUUGUAAAGCUCUGUGGGGAGAGACGAAUAAGGUGCAGUUAAUAUCUGCAUCGAUGACGGUACCUCCUUAGCAAGCACCGGCUAACUCUGUGCCAGCAGCCGCGGUAAGACAGAGGGUGCAAACGUUGUUCGGAAUCACUGGGCGUAAAGCGUGUGUAGGCUGUCAGAUAAGUCGGAUGUGAAAGCCCCGGGCUCAACCUGGGAAGUGCAUUCGAUACUGUUUGACUUGAGUACUGGAGAGGUUGGUGGAAUUCUCGGUGUAGAGGUGAAAUUCGUAGAUAUCGGGAAGAACAUCUGUGGCGAAGGCGGCCAACUGGACAGAUACUGACGCUGAGACACGAAAGCGUGGGGAGCAAACAGGAUUAGAUACCCCAGUAGUCC
rnacentral:rRNA from 1 species